rnacentral:rRNA from 2 species
UACGGAGGGUGCAAGCGUUAUCCGGAUUUAUUGGGUUUAAAGGGUCCGUAGGCGGACCUGUAAGUCAGUGGUGAAAUCUCAUAGCUUAACUAUGAAACUGCCAUUGAUACUGCAGGUCUUGAGUAAAUUUGAAGUGGCUGGAAUAAGUAGUGUAGCGGUGAAAUGCAUAGAUAUUACUUAGAACACCAAUUGCGAAGGCAGGUCACUAAGAUUUAACUGACGCUGAUGGACGAAAGCGUGGGUAGCGAACAGG